rnacentral:rRNA from 1 species
AAUAGAUACCCGGGUAGUCCACGCCGUAAACGAUGUCGACUUGGAGGUUGUGCCCUUGAGGCGUGGCUUCCGGAGCUAACGCGUUAAGUCGACCGCCUGGGGAGUACGGCCGCAAGGUUAAAACUCAAAUGAAUUGACGGGGGCCCGCACAAGCGGUGGAGCAUGUGGUUUAAUUCGAUGCAACGCGAAGAACCUUAUCUGGUCUUGACAUCCACGGAAGUUUUCAGAGAUGAGAAUGUGCCUUCGGGAACCGUGAGACAGGUGCUGCAUGGCUGUCGUCAGCUCGUGUUGUGAAAUGUUGGGUUAAGUCCCGCAACGAGCGCAACCCUUAUCCUUUGUUGCCAGCGGUCCGGCCGGGAACUCAAAGGAGACUGCCAGUGAUAAACUGGAGGAAGGUGGGGAUGACGUCAAGUCAUCAUGGCCCCUUAACGACCGAGGGCUACACACGUGCUACAAUGGCGCAUACAAAGAGAAGCGACCUCGCGAGAGCAAGCGGACCUCAUAAAGUGCGUCGUAGUCCGGAUUGGAGU